GAUCGUCCAUAAGCUCAGGACGCGGCCCUCUCAAGGCUGAAACACGGGUUCGAAUCCCGUAGGGAGCGCCA
rnacentral:tRNA from 1 species